rnacentral:rRNA from 1 species
UACGUAGGGUGCGAGCGUUAAUCGGAAUUACUGGGCGUAAAGCGUGCGCAGGCGGUUCGUUAAGUCAGAUGUGAAGCCCCGGGCUCAACCUGGGAACUGCAUUUGAAACUGGCGGGCUUGAGUAUGGCAGAGGGGGGUGGAAUUCCGCGUGUAGCAGUGAAAUGCGUAGAGAUGCGGAGGAACACCGAUGGCGAAGGCAGCCCCCUGGGCCAAUACUGACGCUCAGGCACGAAAGCGUGGGGAGCAAGCAGG